GAGGAAGAGGGUGGUGUCUUUCCUCUAGCAUCUGCUGCAGACCUAGAUAGGCUGGAACAAAGACUGGCAGAGAAUGGGAAGAUCACUGAAACGGUCAAAUCUACAACUACUAACAAAAUGACAUUCUGCAAAAUAUGGGAGCUACACUAUGAUGAACUUGCAGACCAACAACAUAACAGACAUACAGCUGGUGCAGAGCAAUGAGGAAGGGGGAAGCUACCACGUGGAGAAGGAGGGCCUUAGAAGAAGCUUGGACCUCCUGGAGGAAAGCGGUGUAAAGUUGGACUGUGUUGUUACUGACCGUCACCCCCAGAUAAAAAAAAAAGUUUUUAAAG